UUAAGUCAGGCAACGAGCGAGACCCACGCCAACAGUUGCCAGCAUGUCCUUCGGGAUGGUGGGGACACUGUUGGGACCGCCUCUGCUAAAGAGGAGGAAGGAAUGGGCAACGGUAGGUCAGCAUGCCCCGAAUUAUCCGGGCUACACGCGGGCUACAAUGGGUGGGACAAUGGGUAUCGACACCGAAAGGUGAAGGCAAUCUCCUAAACCCAUCCUUAGUUCGGAUUGUGGGCUGCAACUCGCCCACAUGAAGCUGGAAUCUGUAGUAAUCGUGUCUCAACAUGGCACGGUGAAUAUGUCCCUGCUCCUUGCACA
rnacentral:rRNA from 1 species